GCCCUCCUAGCUCAAUCGGAAGAGCGUGGGACUUUUAAGCAUUGUUCUCACUAGACAAUGUUCAAAGUCAAUCCCAAGGUCGUGAGUUCGAGCCUCACGGAGGGCG
rnacentral:tRNA from 1 species